rnacentral:lncRNA from 1 species
GGAAUAUAAGUACUUAAUUGUAACUAACUUUUGAUCAGAAUCACAUUUCACAAGAAAUUCAACAAACUUUUCCCUCCAAAUUCUCCAAAAGCUCAAGAACAUUCAAGAGCAAAAUUGGAUCAAACUCUUCGAAUUCUUCACCAAAUCACGAAUUUCUUUUUGCUGCCUCUUCCCUGGAUCUUCCUCUUGAACUGUUUUGAUGAUUUGGAGCCAAAAAG